UUCCUGGUGGUCCAGUGGUUAAGACUUCGGCUUCCAACGCAGGGGGUGCAGGUUCAAUCCCUGCUCAGGAAG